GAGCACGUAGGUGGGUUUGUAAGUCAGAUGUGAAAGCCUUCUGUUCAACGGAAGAAUUGCAUCUGAAACUACAAACCUUGAGUGUAGGAGGGGAGAAUGGAACUUCUGGUGGAGCGGUGAAAUGCGUAGAUAUCAGAAGGAACGCCGGCGGCGAAAGCGAUUCUCUGGCCUAUAACUGACACUCAGUGUGCGAAAGCUAGGGGAGCAAACGGGAUUAGAUACCCCGGUAGUCCUAGCCGUAAACGAUGGGCACUAAGUAGAGGGGUUUU
rnacentral:rRNA from 1 species